ACUCAUACCUUGCAGAGAAAAUACUAUGUCAUAAAAGUGGUUUUCCCAGGGGUUGGCUCAUCCAUUGCACUUUGGGUGUGCUGCUGAUCUCUGUGAUUUCCCCAAAUGUGGGGAACUCAUCUGCAUAAUUUGUGUUAAGAUGCAGCUAGGGGGUCACCAUGACUUGCGGG
rnacentral:snRNA from 1 species